GAUGAACGCUGGCGGCGUGCCUAAUACAUGCAAGUCGAGCGAACAGACGAGGAGCUUGCUCCUCUGACGUUAGCGGCGGACGGGUGAGUAACACGUGGAUAACCUACCUAUAAGACUGGGAUAACUUCGGGAAACCGGAGCUAAUACCGGAUAAUAUAUUGAACCGCAUGGUUCAAUAGUGAAAGACGGUUUUGCUGUCACUUAUAGAUGGAUCCGCGCCGCAUUAGCUAGUUGGUAAGGUAACGGCCUACCAAGGCAACGAUGCGUAGCCGACCUGAGAGGGUGAUCGGCCACACUGGAACUGAGACACGGUCCAGAGUCCUACGGGAGGCAGCAGUAGGGAAUCUUCCGCAAUGGGCGAAAGCCUGACGGAGCAACGCCGCGUGAGUGAUGAAGGUCUUCGGAUCGUAAAACUCUGUUAUUAGGGAAGAACAAAUGUGUAAGUAACUAUGCACGUCGUGACGGUACCUAAUCAGAAAGCCACGGCUAACUACGUG
rnacentral:rRNA from 1 species